UCCUCCCAUCAUAUUCCUGUGCCACAUGCCUUUACCCUCUGCCCUCACACCUGCCUCCACACUGCCCACCGCCCCCUCACACAUGUGCCUCCUAGCAACCUGACCUUCCAUCCUUCCAGGUACCUCUGUGCUACCUCCCUGGACUCCCAGUCACACUCGCCCUGCUCUGACACCCACAAGUCUGAUGCCUCCAUCUACCUCCACUGGCGGGCACCUUCUGCUCCCUCCCGUCUCUGCCCCAGCCUCCAUCCUCCCCCUUCCACCAGUGAUUCUCACCCGAGGACGCACAACCCACAGGCGGCCUAUCAGAACCUUCUUCUGGGUCCGUUUCCUGCUGUUAUAUCUGUCUGUGAGCAGAACACUGCUCCCCUCCAUGUGCUGAUAGGCCUCCCUGGGGCCGUGCCCACUGCCCCCCUCGGGUGGAACCCACCCCCCCCAUCCCCGGGGAGAAUCACUGCUGUGGGUGCCACCUGGUGCCUCCUGGCCUCGUUCUCCCAUUUCAGGACUCCAGCGUGCCAGUGGUGGCCAUCUGAUGUCCUCACUCGAUCUCAGCAUGUGCCCACCGAUGCAGACCUGGCACUCUCUUCCUGGGACCACCAUGUUCCCCUCACUGUUUACUCUUCACUACAAGAACUGACACAAACCCACUCUACCUGAGAGUUAUUCUUCCACAGGACCCCUCACCACCCCAACCCGCUUGCGCCCAGAAACCAAAAUAAUCCUUCCGAACCUGUCAGUGUGUUUGCACCAAAUGUGGUCUUCUCGGAGAUACUGUGGUCUUGGUCUUGUCUUUGUUAAUUGCUCUUCCCAUUUGUGAUUCUGGCAAAGGUUCCCAUAUAGUGUGUCUCUUUGAGCCUGUCUUUCCUCCUCUCUCACGGCCAGCCUUUUACUCUUCCCUUCCCUUCCCUUCCCCUCCUUUAGCUACUCUCUUCCUCCUAGCAGGAAGGCAGGCUCAGUGGGCUCCCCAGACACUACUCUUCACUUCACACCCUACAUCUGGAAUGUUCUACCAGCUCGGUUCAGUAGGAUGUCUUCUCCAUUCAUGCAGGGAGCCUCAAGGCCCCAUAUCGAAGCGACCUACUGCCCUCCCUGCCCUGCGUCCCUCCUUGACACAAAUCCUGUCCCCGACCCCAUCCUAGCCCCAAACCCUUGCCCAGCGGAUCCAUGGUUAAGAGCUUGGCGUAAAAUGUACACCUUCUGACAACACCCAAGACUUCUAAAGCAAAUGUGUCUCCCUGUCCAUAGGGAUCCACCCCUUUCCUGCGUGGCCCUCCCCAUGCCUGAGCCUUGCAGGCAGCCUGAGCACCCAAAGAGCCUUCAGUGCCACCUGCUGCUGCCCCUCCGCCCUGCUCCCCUGUGGCUGUCCAGCCCGUCUCCCUCCCACUGCACUGUCCUCUCCACCUUCCCUUGGUGCCCCCUACCCCCGUCUGCCUUCCAUGGGUGACUGCCCCUUGCCCUGUUUCUUGCUCUCAUUGUCACAUCUUUCCUGCUGCCUGUCCUCCUGCCACCCUUUUCCUCUCCUUCAGUCCCGGGCCUAGGGCAGCCUCCCCACCCCUUAUCUGAGGCCCUGCUGUCCUGCACUACCUGGUGCCCGCCACUCCUUCAGGUUUCUAUGGAGAUGCAGUCCCUCCCUCCCAUCAGCCAUGCCUUCAGAAGCCCCUGCAUGAUCUAGCUGAGCGGUAGUCCUCGGGUUGUCCAUGCCCAUCUUCACCUGUCCUUCACACCCAGGGCUCUGCCACGUCAGGCAUUUUAGCCUCACACUAACGAUACAUUCUACCUGGCAGAUUGGCCUCAGAUUGCAGGCUACUUGCAGAACUCUACAACCAAGGCCCCUCCAGACUUCAUGUUUCCUUUAUUCUUCCUUUCGGGCGUCUGAAAACACUCUUGGAAACCUCUGCCUCUGAUGUCCCACCACCUUCCUGUGCCACAUGCAUUAAUCCUCAGCCCUCAGUCCUGCCACCACAGUGCCCACUCCACCUCACACGCAUGCCCCCUGGCAACCUGGCCUCCUGCUGAGCUUCACGACUCCGUCUUUCAGGCGGGCAGCCCGUGCUCCCAACCUUUCUCUUCCUGCUUCUCCUCCCACCUAAGCACUAACUGCUUCAAGAGCUCUCCUUCUGCCCGGCCCUUCUUCUGUCUGGUGCUGCCUUCCCUCCCCUGGACAGUGGCCCCUGC
rnacentral:lncRNA from 1 species